rnacentral:rRNA from 1 species
ACUUUCAACAACGGAUCUCUUGGUUCUGGCAUCGAUGAAGAACGCAGCGAAAUGCGAUAAGUAAUGUGAAUUGCAGAAUUCAGUGAAUCAUCGAAUCUUUGAACGCACAUUGCGCCCAUUAGUAUUCUAGUGGGCAUGCCUGUUCGAGCGUCAUUUCAACCCUUAAGCCCCUGUUGCUUAGCGUUGGGAAUCUAGGUCUCUAGGGCCUAGUUCCCCAAAGUCAUCGGCGGAGUCGGAGCGUACUCUCAGCGUAGUAAUACCAUUCUCGCUUUUGCAGUAGCCCCGGCGGCUUGCCGUAAAACCCUUAUAUCUUUAGUGGUUGACCUCGAAUCAGGUAGGAAUACCCGCUGAACUUAAGCAUAUCAAUAAGCGGAGGAAAAGAAACCAACAGGGAUUGCCCUAGUAACGGCGAGUGAAGCGGCAACAGCUCAAAUUUGAAAUCUGGCCCUAGCGGUCCGAGUUGUAAUUUGUAGAGGAUGCUUUUGGUGAGGUGCCUUCCGAGUUCCCUGGAACGGGACGCCGGAGAGGGUGAGAGCCCCGUACGGUUGGACGCCAAACCUCUGUAUAGCUCCUUCGACGAGUCGAGUAGUUUGGGAAUGCUGCUCUAAAUGGGAGGUAAAUUUCUUCUAAAGCUAAAUACCGGCCAGAGACCGAUAGCGCACAAGUAGAGUGAUCGAAAGAUGAAAAGCACUUUGAAAAGAGGGUUAAAUAGCACGUGAAAUUGUUGAAAGGGAAGCGUUUGCGACCAGACUUUUUCCAGGCGGAUCAUCCGGCGUUCUCGCCGGUGCACUCCGCCUGGUUGAGGCCAGCAUCGGUUUCCUUAGGGGGAUAAAGGCCUGGGGAACGUAGCUCCUUCGGGAGUGUUAUAGCCCCUGGCGUAAUACCCCUCGGGGGACCGAGGAACGCGCUCUGCAAGGAUGCUGGCGUAAUGGUCGUCAACGACCCGUCUUGAAACACGGACCAAGGAGUCGAACAUUUGUGCGAGUGUUUGGGUGUCAAACCCUCACGCGUAAUGAAAGUGAACGGAGGUGAGAGCCCUUACGGGUGCAUCAUCGACCGAUCCUGAUGUCUUCGGAUGGAUUUGAGUAAGAGCAUAACUGUUCGGACCCGAAAGAUGGUGAACUAUGCGUGGAUAGGGUGAAGCCAGAGGAAACUCUGGUGGAGGCUCGCAGCGGUUCUGACGUGCAAAUCGAUCGUCAAAUCUGCGCAUGGGGGCGAAAGACUUAUCGAACCAUCUAGUAGCUGGUUACCGCCGAAGUUUCCCUCAGGAUAGCAGUGUUGUCUUCAGUUUUAUGAGGUAAAGCGAAUGAUUAGGGACUCGGGGGCGCUAUAUUGCCUUCAUCCAUUCUCAAACUUUAAAUAUGUAAGAAGCCCUUGUUACUUAGUUGAACGUGGGCAUUCGAAUGUACCAACACUAGUGGGCCAUUUUUGGUAAGCAGAACUGGCGAUGCGGGAUGAACCGAACGCGGGGUUAAGGUGCCAGAGUGGACGCUCAUCAGACACCACAAAAGGUGUUAGUACAUCUUGACAGCAGGACGGUGGCCAUGGAAGUCGGAAUCCGCUAAGGACUGUGUAACAACUCACCUGCCGAAUGUACUAGCCCUGAAAAUGGAUGGCGCUCAAGCGUCUCACCCAUACCUCGCCCUUAGGGUAGAAACGAUGCCCUAAGGAGUAGGCGGCCGUGGAGGUUAGUGACGAAGCCUAGGGCGUGAGCCCGGGUAGAACAGCCUCUAGUGCAGAUCUUGGUGGUAGUAGCAAAUACUUCAAUGAGAACUUGAAGGACCGAAGUGGGGAAAGGUUCCAUGUGAACAGCGGUUGGACGUGGGUUAGCCGAUCCUAAGCCAUAGGGAAGUUCCGUUUCAAAGUGGGCACUUGUGCCCCGUGUGGCGAAAGGGAAGCCGGUCAAUAUUCCGGCGCUUGGAUUUGGGUUUUACGCGGCAACGCAACUGAAAGCGGAGACGACGGCGGGGGCCCUGGGCAGAGUUCUCUUUUCUUCUUAACGGUCUAUCACCCUGAAAUCGGUUUGUCCGGAGCUAGGGUUUAACGGCCGGAAGAGCCCAACACCUCUGUUGGGUCUGGUGCGCCCCCGACGUCCCUUGAAAAUCCGCUGGAGGGAAUAAUUCUCAAGCCAAGUCGUACUCAUAACCGCAGCAGGUCUCCAAGGUGAACAGCCUCUGGUUGAUAGAACAAUGUAGAUAAGGGAAGUCGGCAAAAUAGAUCCGUAACUUCGGGAAAAGGAUUGGCUCUAAGGGUUGGGUACGUUGGGCCUUUGGCGGACGGCUCGGGAGCAGAUCGCCACUAGCCGGGCAACCGGCCGGCGGCUUUCAGCACCUGGGUUCUGACGCCUUUGGCAGGCUUCGGCCGUCCGGCGUACGGUUAACAACCAACUUAGAACUGGUACGGACAGGGGGAAUCUGACUGUCUAAUUAAAACAUAGCAUUGCGAUGGUCAGAAAGUGAUGUUGACGCAAUGUGAUUUCUGCCCAGUGCUCUGAAUGUCAAAGUAAAGAGAUUUAACCAAGCGCGGGUAAACGGCGGGAGUAACUAUGACUCGUGUUUACGCGAUCUACCCGCUGUAUUCGCUACCGCGGUAGCGAAUUCAGCGGUCGGUCUUAAGAGGGUCAUGAGAGGGUUUGAAAUAGCCCUAGUGGUUGGCAGGCUUCUACCCUAUAGCUACCCUGUAGGUUGAGGUCCGGUCGCCGUGACACUAUCAAAUUGCGGGAAGUUCCUAAAGCUUCAGCUACCGCGGCCCGCUGAAAAGUAGGGCGUCAGCACCAAGGUAACGCCUUGGGGAAGGUAAAAACGCUGAAGAUAUUGCAAUGGAUGAUCCGCAGCCAAGUCCGUAAAGACCUACCCGGGAGCUAGCUACCCUGUAGCUACCCUGGAGGUCAGGAUGCAGUUCAACGAUUAAAUGGUAGUGGGUUAGGCGACGAAAAUCGCCUAGCUUAAGAUAUAAUCUACUCCUCCGGCGAAAGCUGCGAGGUACUCGAAAGCUCUUAAGGUAGCCAAAUGCCUCGUCAUCUAAUUAGU